rnacentral:ncRNA from 1 species
AGGUCUGGCGGACCAGCGGAUCGGAGAAAUCCGAGAGCCGGAACGGAUCGAGAUAGCCGCCGGGAUUGGCGCUCAUCCAGGCAUAGAUGCGGGCCGAACCGAGCCACUGCAGCAGCAGAUAGGCGGCCUCCGGAUUCUUCGACUGCGACGAGACCAUGCCGGUCAGCGAGAACCACAACACCGAACGGCUGAUCAGCUUGCCGUCGAUCUCGCGGCCGGGCGG